rnacentral:tRNA from 1 species
UUACAUAGCGGUGUACGGGCACAAAGAAUUUUGAUUUCUUAGGAGAGGCUCAUAGCCUCCUAGUAAG